CCAUGUAUGUAUAUGGUCGGAACGUCUGGUAGCAUCUCUGGCUGCUGUUAACCUUGUUUUUGGAGUAAAACACGGUGGAAGCUGAAUUAGUGAGGAUGACUCCUGCUCCUGUCAUCUCUAAGCUCCUCACACAUCUUUACCUGCACAUGAGGAAAAUCACUCCUGUAGAAUGCAGAUGUUCAGAGGGAGAUGAUGCCACAUCUGGUCCAGCUGAUGGAAGGUCUUGAAGUUCUCUGACUGGCCUCGACUGAAGAUGGUCGUCUCACUGGAUUUAAGGUUCAGAUGCUCAGUAACAAACUCCACCAAUGAGCCAACAGGGAAGCUUUAGGUUUAUUAAAUGUUGCUAUGAAGGUUUCGCUGUUUUUCUUUGUGAAUGCAAUGUGCUCCAACUGAAACUUGAAUUAGAACUUAGAAGUAAAUCCUUCCAUCUGAAAGGAUUUAGUUGCAUUAAUAACCUCAUAACAUUCUAAUUUUUAUUCCAGUCUUGGUUGGAAAUAGAAUCUCUGUAUUGAUUCAGGUAAAAACUGAACUUCACAGGAUGUUGGAGCAAAACAACCAGAUGAAAACUGUGAUGGUGUUGGAUUGUCAGACCGUAAUGUUGCAGCUCAAAGCAGCUUUUCUAUCUCAGUUCAUUCUGACAUUCAGCUAUAAAUCAACACAGCAGAUGGUGAUCCAUGCUGUGGAAGUCUCACAUCUCCUGAUUUAAUGGAGCUGCUUUGCACUUUUUACACUGUUUAUUCACCAACACUUUAUUUAAUAAAAGUCCCAUCUAGUUUUUAUGAGGAAUGUGAUGUUUUAAUUUCUCUGUGAAUAACUGCAGUCUAAUGUAACAGCUGGAGUUGUAACAUCUGUCCUGAUAUUGAUCAUGAAGUAUUAAUCAGAAUGAUCAGAUGAGUUUGUUUUUACUGCCAGCUACCAUUCAGUCUGAGAUAUUAAGAAUAAAUAAAUGUGCAUAAUGUGGAAAUGAACAGAUUCGAUUUUUAUUUAUUCCUACAGCUGCUGCAGGUUCCAAAGUUCCAGAAUGUGGAGGAAUUUAGUCUCACAAUCACAGAUAAAUAUCAUCUGAAAGUCGGGUUAUUGUUUAUCAGCACAAUACAAAAAGAUUAAUGUUAGAAAUAUUUCAGUUAAGACUCUAGAAUAUCAAGAUUUAUGUAAAUUUACCUCAAUAAUAUGAAUGUUCAGGUUAAGAUUGUACAGUGAUAUUUAUUACGUAAGUUUAGCUGAUUAAAGUUUAUGACUCUGCACUAAAAUAUUAUUUAAAUUGACAUCAUUAUUAUAAUAUUUAGGGUCAGACCCUACAGUAUUGAGAUUAAGAAAUCAAAUAUUCUAUAAAAUGUAAAUACACUGAACUCAUUUGGAUAUAUUUAAGUGAGACUCUACAAUAUUAUUUAUGACACAAAUCUAUCUAAAUCAAAAUUUUAAUAAUUUUCACACCAAACAUUUACUGGACUGAUUUAAAUAUUAAAAUCACUCCUUUCUAAUCCUCUGCUGUACGUUCAAACCUGAGGCCUUAAAUAGAAACACACAAGUAUCUGUUUGAAGGAACUUCUGCAGAGUCCUGGUUCCAGAACAUGAUGAUAGAAUUAUAGACAAACUUUAACAAAAGCUGCCUGAGAGUUUACAGGUUUUUAUGUUGGAUUUCUUCAGUAAUUUAAUGAGUUAUCAGCAAUAAUCAAGUGUUCAUUUGAUGAACUUCAUUUCCUAAAACAUCCAGAAUUGGAGCUCAUAUCUUAGGCAGCUGUAAAGUUUCUGCUCCUUCAAAGUUCACAACACAAUGAAUGAAUUCCUAAAACACUCUCAAUGCUGGAGAGCGUUUGUGAUGCUGAAGCAGUGACCAGUUUUUCUGUUUCUUCUCUGGAGAUGCACAAUGAGGGACGUCUGCAGAGACUGAGAAAGAGUCUCACCACAUCCUGACAUGAGGAAAAAGACUUUAUUGAAGACUACAAUGAGAAAAACUAUCAGACAGCAGACGGCUGCAUUCAAGUCUGUAGCUGCUGAAUUCAUGGAUGAAUCAUCUGGCACUAGAGAGGAAGACCAUCAAACAUCCACGUCAGCUGAUGGAGGUCCAAGAGUCUCACCAAACAAACAACCUACAGAGUGAAGACCUCAAAUCUGAUUGGACGGCCUCCUGUUCAGCCACAUGUGUGAACAAAUGCCUCUAAGCUGAUUUGUUUUCUAAAAUAAAUCUAGUUUGAGUCCUAA